GGCCUUAUGGUCUAGUAGUAUGAUUCCUCGUUUGGGUUAGCUCAACUUCGAGGAGGUCCUGGGUUCAACUCCCAGUGAGGCCC
rnacentral:tRNA from 2 species